UAUUUGAAGUUUCUAGCAAGAUUUUUCUAUGUCAUACCUGGUGAACAUUUAAUAACUGGAACCUUCAAUCAAGACAAUAUUUGGAGUUUUAUUCGCUCAAUCAUUUUUCUAUUCCUCUGUUUUUCAUAAACCAAUGACAUGAGCCAUCCUAAUUUUUAUUUGAUUUUUCUUCGAAAACCAGAACCAUAUAUCCCUAUCCUAUCAGACUUUUCAUCUUGACCAUAAUGUUUACCUUAACUUGUUUUCAUGAUAAACACACGAGUAGAGCCCGCGUUGUUCUAACUUUGUAAAUUUUUGAUGCAUGCUAGGACUCGCGUGACCAAAGGAUUUUGGUUUGCUUAAACUUGAAAAACUUAUCGGUUUUCUUAGAAUUAGAAUUUUUCUGAGCCAUAUUUAUUUAUUUCAUUCAAAAUCACUCUCACUUUUGGCCAAAAUUAGAAUCUAAACCCAUUACCCC
rnacentral:lncRNA from 1 species